GUGGGGAAUAUUGGACAAUGGGCGAAAGCCUGAUCCAGCCAUGCCGCGUGUGUGAAGAAGGUCUUCGGAUUGUAAAGCACUUUAAGUUGGGAGGAAGGGCAGUAAGUUAAUACCUUGCUGUUUUGACGUUACCGACAGAAUAAGCACCGGCUAACUUCGUGCCAGCAGCCGCGGUAAUACGAAGGGUGCAAGCGUUAAUCGGAAUUACUGGGCGUAAAGCGCGCGUAGGUGGUUUUGUAAGUUGGAGGUGAAAUCCCCGGGCUCAACCUGGGAACUGCCUCCAAAACUGCAUGACUAGAGUACGGUAGAGGGUAGUGGAAUUUCCUGUGUAGCGGUGAAAUGCGUAGAUAUAGGAAGGAACACCAGUGGCGAAGGCGACUACCCGGACUGAUACUGACACUGAGGUGCGAAAGCGUGGGGAGCAAACAGGAUUAGAUACCCCGGUAGUCC
rnacentral:rRNA from 1 species